GACGUAGGGUGCAAGCGUUAAUCGGAAUUACUGGGCGUAAAGCGUGCGCAGGCGGUCCGCUAAGACAGAUGUGAAAUCCCCGGGCUUAACCUGGGAACUGCAUUUGUGACUGGCGGGCUAGAGUAUGGCAGAGGGGGGUAGAAUUCCACGUGUAGCAGUGAAAUGCGUAGAGAUGUGGAGGAAUACCGAUGGCGAAGGCAGCCCCCUGGGCCAAUACUGACGCUCAUGCACGAAAGCGUGGGGAGCAAACAGG
rnacentral:rRNA from 1 species